rnacentral:rRNA from 1 species
GACACGGCUGACUGGUCCGCCUAACGGUGAGUACUGGUCGGCUGGGUCUUUCCUUCUAGGGAACCAGGUUGCCCUUAAUUGGGUGGCCUGGCGAUCUAGGACUUUUACUUUGAAAAAAUUAGAGUGUUCAAAGCAGGCUUACGCUUGAAUACAUUAGCAUGGAAUAAUAGAAUAGGACUUUGGUUCUAUUUUGUUGGUUUCUAGGACCGAAGUA